UACGAAGGGGGCUAGCGUUGCUCGGAAUCACUGGGCGUAAAGCGCACGUAGGCGGGUCGUAAGUCGGAGGUGAAAUCCUGGAGCUCAACUCCAGAACUGCCUUCGAUACUGGCGAUCUUCGAGUCCGGGAGAGGUGAGUGGAACUCCGAGUGUAGAGGUGAAAUUCGUAGAUAUUCGGAAGAACACCAGUGGCGAAGGCGGCUCACUGGCCCGGUACUGACGCUGAGGUGCGAAAAGCGUGGGGGAGCAAACAGGG
rnacentral:rRNA from 1 species